GAGGGAAAAAUUAAUAAAAUAUAAAUAAUAAAAAAAUUUUUAUAAAAUACAUAUAAUGGGGGUUAAAGUAUUAUUAUAGAAAAAAUUGUAAAAUUUAUAGUUAAAUAGUAUUGUAAAAGAAUUUUGAAAUAAAAAUUAAAUAUUAAAUUUUUAAAAAGUAAAUUUAAUUUAUUGUAUCUUGUGUAUCAGAGUUUAUAAAUAAAAUAUUAUAAUUAAAAAUUUCUCGAAUUUUAAAGAGUUAAUUAAUUAAAAAAGUUAAUGUUGAAUAAUUAUUUUUAAUAAUUAAUUGGAAAUGAAAUGUUAAUCGUUUUAAAAGAUAUCUAGUUUUUUUAGAAAUAAAUUUAAUUUAAAAUAAUAUUUUUUAAUUUAUUUUAUUGUUAGAAUAUUAAAAUUAUUAUUUAAUAUUUUAAGGGAUAAGCUUUAAAAUAAAAUUUUAUAAUAAGUUAUUAAUUAUAAUUAAAUUUUUAGAAUUUAUAUUGUUAAAUAAAUUAUAAUUUUUUAUAAAUAAUUUAAUUUUUAAAAUAAAAUUUUAUAAGAAAAAAUUUAAUUUUUUAUAAAAAAAUAAUUUUUAAUAAUUUAAAAUAAUAUAUAAUGAUAAAAUUAGUAUAUUUUUAAUAAUUUAAAAUAAUAUAUAAUGAUAAAAUUAGUAUAUGAAUAAAUUUAAAUAAUAAAUAUUAAAAUUUAAAAAUUUAAAUAAAGGAAUUCGGCAAAAAUUUAUAUUCACUUGUUUAUCAAAAACAUGUCUUUUUGAAAUAAUUUAAAGUCUAAUCUGCCCACUGAUAUUAUUAAAGGGCUGCAGUAUUUUGACUGUACAAAGGUAGCAUAAUCAUUUGUCUCUUAAUUGGUGACUUGUAUGAAAGAUUUAAUGAAAUAUGAACUGUCUCAAUUUAAUUUAUAAAAUUUAAUUUUUUAGUUAAAAAGCUAGAAUAAAUUUAAAAGACGAGAAGACCCUAUAGAGUUUUAUAAUUAUAUUAAUUAUAAUAAAAUAUAAAUUUUUUUAAUUAAAAUUAAUAUAAUUAUUUUGUUGGGGUGACAAAAAAAUUGAAUUAACUUUUUUUAAAAAAUUUACAUUAAUUUAUGAUUUUAUGAUCCAUUUUUAAUGAUUAAAAGAAAAAAUUACCUUAGGGAUAACAGCGUAAUUUUUUUUUUUAGAUCAAAUAAUAAAAAGAGUUUGCGACCUCGAUGUUGGAUUAAGAUAAAAUUUAAAUGCAAAAGUUUAAAAUUUUUGAUCUGUUCGAUCAUUAAAAUCUUACAUGAUCUGAGUUCAAACCGGUGAAAGCCAGGUUGGUUUCUAUCUUUAAUUAAAUAUAAUAUUUUAGUACGAAAGGAAUAAAUAUUGAAAAUAAUUUUUUAUAAAAUGAAUAUUAUUAAUUGUAACUAUUUUGACAGAAAAAAUGUAAU
rnacentral:rRNA from 1 species